rnacentral:lncRNA from 13 species
UUAGCCCCAUAUAUACUGUAAAUGCAUUGACCUUACCCUUAUAUCAGAUAUCACGGAGGAAUUGUUGACCUGGGGCAUGAAUUGAAUUGCAUUUUUUUUUGUAUGUGAGUACAGGUUGUGGCCUGACUAGAUUUCUCGCAUAUAGGUUGCCCUUCAUCACUCAGCAGUGAAGAAUGAAAAUCAACAGAGCUUUCCCCAGCCUGCUGCUUAAGCAGCUGCUAACAGGCUGAGGCUGCCCAGCCGCAUUAACCCAUUAGAUGCUGCGUUAGCCCGGGAGUCAUUCUUAAUGAGGCUGCUGCAGGGACAUAAAAGAGAAAAUAUCAUCACAAGUAAUGAAAGUGAAUCAGGGAAGAAAAAGAGGAGGAUGGCGUUUGGACAGACCCAGUGAGAACACAGAG